rnacentral:lncRNA from 1 species
CCUUCUUCCCGUCCGGCACCACCGUCGUCAAGUGCAUCUCCGACGGCGGCCUCUACCUCGACGCGUACGUACCCUACCUGUGCUGCAUCACACACAAGAGGCCGGCAACUGAACUGACAGCAGGUUUCCCUCCCAUGACUCCGGUGGCAUGCAUGCAGCGUGGAUGUCUCCGGUGGCCGGAGCCUGAGAUCCUACUUCCGUGACAUCGUGGCCAUGCAAGGAAUAGCUCAGAACCUGCCGCCGGCUUGCACCGCCCGUCUCGACGCCACCUCGGUGCGUGCUGUCGCUGCUCUCCUAUUGCUUCUCAUGAAGUGAUGGUUGCUCUGAAAUCUCAAUCUCGUGUGAAUGCAGUGCUUCUUCCCGCAAAACAUAAUCGAUGGCAUCAAGACCCCACUGUUUCUGCUAAAUGCAGCAUACGACUUCAUUCAGGUAAACAUUAAUUUCGCUUUAAUGAGCAGACACCCUAAAUAGCAAAUGUAUUACCGGUGACAUUACUUACCUGCAUUGUUCCGUCAGAUUGUGCUCAGCCUGGCGCCAGACAGAGCUGACCCAAACGGCGCUUGGCGAGCCUGCAAGUCCAACCGCACGGCCUGCAGUGCAUCCCAGAUGAGUUUCCUGCAAGGUUAAACUGGGAAUCCAUUUGGUAAUGCAAGUUCAUCUUCAUCAGGAAAUGACGAUCCGAAUGACUAAAGCAAAUUGGUACACAAGUGCAGAUUUCAGGGACCAGAUGGUAGCAUCCGUCAGAGGCUUC